CGGACGGGUGAGUAAUGUCUGGGAAACUGCCUGAUGGAGGGGGGAUAACUACUGGAAACGGUAGCUAAUACCGCAUAACGUCGCAAGACCAAAGAGGGGGACCUUCGGGCCUCUUGCCAUCAGAUGUGCCCCAGAUGGGAUUAGCUAGUAGGUGGGGUAACGGCUCACCUAGGCGACGAUCCCUAGCUGGUCUGAGAGGAUGACCAGCCACACUGGAACUGAGACACGGUCCAGACUCCUACGGGAGGCAGCAUG
rnacentral:rRNA from 1 species